rnacentral:rRNA from 1 species
CGCGUAUCCAACUUCCUUUACCCGGGGAUAGCCUUUCGAAGAAAGAUUAAUACCCGAUGGUUCGGGUUCCGCAUGAGACCCUGAAUAAAGAUUUAUCAGUAAAGGAUGGGGGUGCGUUCCAUUAGGUAGUAGGCGGGGUAACGGCCCACCUAGCCGACGAUGGAUAGGGGUUCUGAGAGGAAGGUCCCCCACAUUGGAACUGAGACACGGUCCAAACUCCUACGGGAGGCAGCAGUGAGGAAUAUUGGUCAAUGGACGAGAGUCUGAACCAGCCAAGUAGCGUGAAGGAUGACUGCCCUAUGGGUUGUAAACUUCUUUAUAUGGGAAUAAAAAGUCCACGUGUGGACUCUUGUAUGUACCCUAUGAAUAAGCAUCGGCUAACUCCGUGCCAGCAGCCGCGGUAAUACGGAGGAUGCGAGCGUUAUCCGGAUUUAUUGGGUUUAAAGGGUGCGUAGGUGGUCUUUUAAGUCAGCGGUGAAAGUUUGUGGCUUAACCAUAAAAUUGCCAUUGAUACUGGGAGACUUGAGUGUGUUUGAGGUAGGCGGAAUGCGUAGUGUAGC